rnacentral:sRNA from 1 species
CUCUCCCAGGUGAGCGUGGGAGCUGAACCAAAGGUAUGCUGGGAAUGUAUGGUCGUUGCCAUGGCAACACGUGCGCAGGUGAUGUCCCUGAUGGAGGCAAAAGCUGUUUCGGAUUCCAGCAAAGAAACUAAACCUCACUGAUACUGGGCCUUGAAGCUGACCACAUAUUGUAUAGCGUUCGUUUGUAAUGUUAACUGCUAUUAGAUGCCGUUCGAAGAACCUUAGGAAACCCAUUCAGCCCUGCCCCAGUCUCUGUCUCCUCUGCAUAAACACCUCUUCUUGGAGUUGAAAGAGAAGCCUGUUAUCACCUCCCAGAUUUUCUCUCAAGAGCUAAAUAUUCAUCUUCGAGUUAUGCCGCUGAAAUUUUAGACUUGUUAUUUUAGGCCCAGAGCUGCCUUCCCCGAAAUGAGAUUCCAUCUGUUCAGCAUCAAGAUGCUGGUCUCAUUUCUCUCAAAACAACCGUGGUGAAAUGGAGACAAAUUUUCUUUCGGAUGACUACACUUUGCAAGAGGGGGGGCAAGCGCAAUGCAUGCUGGGAAGAUGAAAAGCCAGUCUUCCAGCCAGGUGUGUUCGUGGAAAGCUGCCCCGAAGUUCUCGGAACUGCUCAGGAUUCUUCCCCUGUUCCUCAUGGGGCCUCUAAUGAAGUCUGAGCUGUAACCUGGGGUUGAUGCCAGCCUGGAAUGCAGGAGACUGAAAGCUGACACCCGUUCCACCAAGCAAAGGGCCUUGCACUGAGGUUGUCGCCAUGACAACCCGGGUAGGCUCCUGGUGACGUAUUUACACAACGGGGUUAAAGUUCUUUGAGACCAGCCGCUGCUGUAAAAACAGCAUAUUAAAUAUG